rnacentral:rRNA from 1 species
CCAUAUGCUUGUCUCAAAGAUUAAGCCAUGCAGGUCUCAGUACGGCCUCUAGCGAAAAGGCGAAACCGCGAAUGGCUCAUUAAAUCAGUUAUGGUUCCUUAGAGCUUACGUUGUCUUACUUGGAUAACCGUGGUAAUUCUAGAGCUAAUACAUGCACCGAAGCUCCGACCCUCUCGAGGGGACGAGCGCUUUUAUUAGACCGCAACGACCGUAUCCGCCGUGCCUCCGCAAGGAGGUCGCGGACGUGUUUGCGUGGUGACUCUGGAUAACUCUGCCGAUCGGCCGCCGGGCUCCCUAGCGGGGGUCUUCUUGCGGCCGACGCACCUUUCAAGUGUCUGCCUUAUCAACUGUCGACGGUAGGUCAAAUGCCUACCGUGGUGGUAACGGGUGACGGGGAAUCAGGGUUCGAUUCCGGAGAGGAAGCCUGAGAAACGGCUACCACAUCCAAGGAAGGCAGCAGGCUCGCAAAUUACCCACUCCCGGCACGGGGAGGUAGUGACGAAAAAUAACGAUGCGGGACUCGGUCGAGACCCCGCCAUCGGAAUGAGUACACUCUAAAUCCUUUAACGAGGAUCGACCGGAGGGCAAGUCUGGUGCCAGCAGCUGCGGUAAUUCCAGCUCCGGUAGCAUAUGCUAAAGUUGCUGCGGUUAAAAAGCUCGUAGUUGGAUCUCAGUCUCGGCCGCUCGGUCUCGCCCGUGUUGGCGGGUCUCGACGCGGCCGGUCAGAAUGUCGGCCGCCCGGGAUGAUCUUGACCGGUUGUCUCGGAACGGCCGGCGAGUUUACUUUGAAAAAAUCAGAGUGCUCAGAGCGGGCGUUAUCCGCCCGGACGCCCGUGCAUGGAAUAAUGGAAGAUGACCUCGGUUCAAGUCCGUUGGUCCACGAACCCUGAGGUAAUGAUUAAGAGGAACGGCCGGGGGCGAUCGUACCGCGACGCUAGAGGUGAAAUUCUUGGACCGUCGCGUGACGCACCACAGCGAAAGCAUUCGUCAAGAACGCUUCCGUUAAUCAAGAACGAAAGUCAGAGGUUCGAAGGCGAUCAGAUACCGCCCUAGUUCUGACCAUAAACGAUGCCGACCAGCGAUCGGGCUGCGCUCGCCACGACGAGGCGCCCGGAAGCUUCCCGGGAAACCAGAGUCUCUGGGUUCCGGGGGAAGUAUGGUUGCAAAGCUGAAACUUAAAGGAAUUGACGGAAGGGCACCACCAGGAGUGGAGCCUGCGGCUCAAUUUGACUCAACACGGGAAAACUCACCCGGCCCGGACACGGGAAGGAUUGACAGACUGAUUGCUCUUUCUUGAUUCUGUGGGUGGUGGUGCAUGGCCGUUCUUAGUUGGUGGAGCGAUUUGUCUGGUUGAUUCCGAUAACGAACGAGACUCUAGCCUGCUAAAUAGCGAGCUCGCUGAGAGCGGGGCCGCUACCUCGGUUUUUGGGGCCGGCUGCGGCGUUCGGCGUCGGGUUUCCUUCGGGGGCUCGCUCGUCUUCGCGGCGGUCGCGUUUCUUGACUUGGGGGAAACGGUCUCGUCGAGCUCCGGAAUCUCUUCUUAGAGGGACAAGCGACGCAUUAAAGUCGCGCGAGGAAGAGCGAUAACAGGUCUGUGAUGCCCUUAGAUGUCCGGGGCCGCACGCGCGCUACACUGACGCCCACAGCGUGCGCGCUCGCCCGGUCCGACAGGACCGGGGAACCCCGUCAACGGACGUCGUGAUGGGGACAGGGGAUUGUAAUUGUUCCCCUCGAACGAGGAACUCCCAGUAAGCGCGAGUCACUAGCUCGCGUUGAUUACGUCCCUGCCCUUUGUACACACCGCCCGUCGCUACUACCGAUUGAACGGUUCGGUGAGGUCCUCGGACUGGCUUACGCUGGCGGGACCCUCGGCGUUUCUCCCGCAAGGGGUUCGUCGAUUCCCGAUGCGGUAGCCGGAAAGUCGAUCGAACCGUAUCGUUUAGAGGAAGUAAAAGUCGUAACAAGGUUUCC